AUUGAACGCUGGCGGCAUGCCUUACACAUGCAAGUCGAACGGCAGCACGGGGGCAACCCUGGUGGCGAGUGGCGAACGGGUGAGUAACAUAUCGGAACGUGCCCUGGAGUGGGGGAGUAACUAGUCGAAAGACUAGCUAAUACCGCAUACGAUCUACGGAUGAAAGUGGGGGAUCGCAAGACCUCAUGCUCGUGGAGCGGCCGAUAUCUGAUUAGCAGUUGGUGGGGUAAAGGCCUACCAAGGCAUCGAUCAGUAGCUGGUCUGAGAGGACGACCAGCCACACUGGGACUGAGACACGGCCCAGACUCCUACGGGAGGCAGCAGUGGGGAAUUUUGGACAAUGGGCGCAAGCCUGAUCCAGCAAUGCCGCGUGAGUGAAGAAGGCCU
rnacentral:rRNA from 1 species